UGUCCCCGAACCAACAUGGUGACUUGCUUUGCUUUCUGAGUCCUUUCCUCAUUCUCUCUCUCUCUCUUUUUUUUUUUUUUUAAGUAGGCUUCACACCCAGUGCAGAGCCCAAUGUGGGACUUGAACUCACGACCCUGAGAUCAAGACCUGAGCUGAGAUCAAGAGUCUGAUGCUUAAUUGACUGAGCCACCCAGGUGCCCUAACUCUCCCCAUUCUUAAUUGCGGAAGCCAGUCACCAUGUUGUGAGCUGUCCUAUGGCUUGUCCUUAAGCGAGCUUCCGGCCAACAGCCAGAAAAAAGUUGAGGCCCUCAGCUUAACAGCUUGUGAAGAACCGAAUUUUGAUCACAGUCACCUGAGUGAGCUUAUCAACAACUCCUCUAUCAGUUGAACCUUCAAAUGAGAAUGCCGCCCUGGUCAACACCUUGAUGACAGCCUUGUGAGAGACCCAGAGGCAGAAGUCCCCAGGGAAGCCAUGCUUCGAUUUCUGAUACACAGAAACUGUGAGAGUGCUUCUCUUGUGGGAUUGGGCUUAAGGAAAACACUGGCAAAUCUGUGAUACAUAUGAGGAAAGGGGUAUGAUGAAAGGCCUGAAGGAAUUUAUCAGGGAUGUCUAGAAGUAUCUCAAGAAAAGGAAAAAGAAAGGUAGGCCACUUUUGUCUUUUUUUUUUUUUUAUCGAUGAACACAAGAAUUAAGAUUAUGACCCACUGUCUUCUUUUAUUCCCAUUACAAUGGAUUUUGAGAAUAUUUACUUCCAAAGAAAAUUCUGGGUUCUAAUCUCAGGUCUUACUCUGGGGAGAAUUACACAAACUCUCUAAUAUCAAUGUCUUUGCUGGUAAAAUGUGAAUAAUAAUACACACUGGAUAUACUGACAUAACUGAGGACCCCAUGUCUGGCACCUACAGGGCACUUGAUAGUACCAGCUGUUAUUUUUAUCUCUCUUUUAUUGCUAUAUUUACUAUUAUACUAAUAAAUUAUGGUUAUAAAUCUUGUCUGCAAACAAUGAAAACCAAUAUUCACCUGGUUUCAUAUGUAUAUAAAACUGAAGACUCAGGAAUAGAGCAGACUUCAGGAAUGGCUGAUUCAGGGUUUAUACAAUGUGACAAAGAUGUCCUCCUGACUUUUUCUUGAGAUAUAAUUACUUCAUUCUCAGUCUCCAUGUGAUGGCAGGAUUGCACAGGGGAUCAGAAUAUGCCACCCCAAAAUAUGUUACUCUGGCAGAAGGAUUAUUUUGAGCUGAAGGAAAUUGAGAAAAAAGCAGAUCCAAGGUAAAGUCUCUGCUAUGUCUCAAUCUGCCUGAAAACAGAUCAUAGAUUCCACUUAUGAAGGUGCUUCUGUCUUCUCUAUCCUUCGCCUACCAGGAAGAGGCUAACAGCCUCAUCGCUGGCAAUGACAGGGCACCAAGAGAGUCCACACAAACAAACCUCAGUAUCUAGCCCUUAUCUACCAUUAGUUUUCUCUUAUAUUUGCCUUCUUACAAUUUGCUGCCCCUAGAAGUUCAAAGUCCUUCUCCUUUGUCUUAUCACUUUACUUUA